CCCGCACAACGGUGGAGCAUGUGGUUUAAUUCGAAGCAACGCGAAGAACCUUACCAGGUCUUGACAUCCUCUGACAAUCCUAGAGAUAGGACGUCCCCUUCGGGGGCAGAGUGACAGGUGGUGCAUAGUCGUCAGCUCGUGUCGUGAGAUGUUGGGUUAAGUCCCGCAACGAGCGCAACCCUUGAUCUUAGUUGCCAGCAUUCAGUUGGGCACUCUAAGGUGACUGCCGGUGACAAACCGGAGGAAGGUGGGGAUGACGUCAAAUCAUCAUGCCCCUUAUGACCUGGGCUACACACGUGCUACAAUGGACAGAACAAAGGGCGGAAACCGCGAGGUUAAG
rnacentral:rRNA from 2 species